GAUCUACACUCUUUCCCUACACGACGCUCUUCCGAUCUUGGGCUUCCAAUUUAUUGGGAGCGGUAGAGGAGCGUCGAUAGGGCUGUGAAGCGGAUCCGUGAGGGUUCGUGGAGCGCUAUCGAGUGAGAAUGCAGGCAUGAGUAACGAGAGAGGGGUGAGAAACCCCUCCGCCGAAAGCCCAAGGGUUCCUGGGGAAGGCUAAUCCCCCCAGGGUGAGUCGGGAGCUAAGGCGAGGCCGAAAGGCGUAGUCGAUGCACAACUGGUUGAUAUUCCAGUACCUCCAUGCCCGCGCCAAGUCCAAUAGUUGCAACGUUGGGGCUGUUCAUCUUUAUGUUGAGCGAUCUGACUGAGCGUCUGGCGGAUAAUUGACGGGGGACGCAGGAAGAUAAGUGAACCCGGGCGAUGGUAGUCCCGGGGUAAGCGUGUAGGCGGUUCCCGAUGAGAGUUGGGAGCGUUAACGCUGAGACGUGAUGCCGAGCGACAUACUGCGAAGUCACUGAUUCUAUGCUGCCAAGAAAAGCCCAGCAAUGAGUUGGCAUGGAGCCCGUACCCCAAACCGACACAGGUGGGCGGGUAGAGAAUACCAAGGCGAUCGGGAGAACUGUGGUUAAGGAACUCGGCAAAAUGCCCCCGUAACUUCGGGAGAAGGGGGGCCACUGAUCGUGAACAUCCUUGCGGUGGGCAGCGGUUGGUGGUCGCAGAGACCAGUGAGAAGCGACUGUUUACUAAAAACACAGGUCCGUGCGAAGUCGUAAGACGAUGUAUACGGACUGACGCCUGCCCGGUGCUGGAAGGUUAAGAGGACCGGUUAGCCGCAAGGCGAAGCUGAGAAUUUAAGCCCCAGUAAACGGCGGUGGUAACUAUAACCAUCCUAAGGUAGCGAAAUUCCUUGUCGGGUAAGUUCCGACCUGCACGAAUGGCGUAACGACUUCCCAACUGUCUCAACCGCGAACUCGGCGAAAUUGCAUUACGAGUAAAGAUGCUCGUUACGCGCAGCAGGACGGAAAGACCCCGGGACCUUUACUAUAGUUUGGUAUUGGUGAUUGGGACGGUUUGUGUAGGAUAGGUGGGAGACGUUGAUGCGGCCACGCUAGUGGUGGUGGAGUCGUUGGUGAAAUACCACUCUGAUUGUUCUGGUUAUCUCACUGUGGACCGUGAUCCGGUUCAAGGACAGUGCCUGAUGGGUAGUUUGACUGGGGCGGUCGCCUCCUAAAGGGUAACGGAGGCGCCCAAAGGUUCCCUCAGCCUGGUUGGUAAUCAGGUGGUGAGUGUAAGUGCACAAGGGGGCUUGACUGUGAGACUGACAGGUCGAGCAGGGACGAAAGUCGGGACUAGUGAUCUGACGGUGGCUUGUGGAUGCGCCGUCACUCAACGGAUAAAAGGUACCCCGGGGAUAACAGGCUGAUCUUGCCCGAGCGCUCAUAGCGACGGCAUGGUUUGGCACCUCGAUGUCGGCUCGUCGCAUCCUGGGGCUGGAGUCGGUCCCAAGGGUUGGGCUGUUCGCCCAUUAAAGCGGCACGCGAGCUGGGUUCAGAACGUCGUGAGACAGUUCGGUCCCUAU
rnacentral:rRNA from 1 species